UAAUACAUCGGAACAUGCCCAGUCGUGGGGGAUAACACUUCGAAAGAAGUGCUAAUACCGCAUACGUCCUGAGGGAGAAAGCGGGGGAUCGCAAGACCUCGCGCGAUUGGAGUGGCCGAUGUCAGAUUAGCUAGUUGGUGGGGUAAAGGCCUACCAAGGCAACGAUCUGUAGCUGGUCUGAGAGGAUGAUCAGCCACACUGGGACUGAGACACGGCCCAG
rnacentral:rRNA from 1 species